AAAGGAAUUGACGGGGGCCCGCACAAGCGGAGGAACAUGUGGUUUAAUUCGAUGAUACGCGAGGAACCUUACCCGGGCUUGAAAUGCAUUCGACGGGGUCGGAAACGGCCUUUCCCUUCGGGGCGGAUGCGUAGGUGCUGCAUGGUUGUCGUCAGCUCGUGCCGUGAGGUGUCGGCUUAAGUGCCAUAACGAGCGCAACCCCUGUCGUCAGUUGCCAUCGGUAUAAGCCGGGGACUCUGGCGAGACUGCCAUCGUAAGAUGCGAGGAAGGUGGGGAUGACGUCAAAUCAGCACGGCCCUUAUGUCCGGGGCGACACACGUGUUACAAUGGGCGGUACAGCGGGAAGCUACCCGGCGACGGGGAGCCGAUCCCGAAAUCCGCUCACAGUUCGGAUCGGAGUCUGCAACUCGACUCCGUGAAGUCGGAUUCGCUAGUAAUCGCAGGUCAGCAUACUGCGGUGAAUACGUUCCCGGGCCUUGUACACACCGCCCGU
rnacentral:rRNA from 1 species